ACACUGUACUGACAGGCAGUACUGACAGGUAGUCUAUACACUGUACUGACAGGCAGUACUGACAGGUAGUCUAUACACUGUACUGACAGGUAGUCUAAACACUGUACUGACAGGCAGUACUGACAGGCAGUCUAUACACUGUACUGACAGGCAGUCUAAACACUGUACUGACAGGCAGUACUGACAGGCAGUCUAUACACUAUACUGACAGGUAGUCUAUACACUGUACUGACAGGUAGUCUAAACACUGUACUGACAGGCAGUACUGACAGGCAGUACUGACAGGUAGUCUAUACACUGUACUGACAGGUAGUCUAAACACUGUACUGACAGGCAGUCUAUACACUGUACUGACAGGCAGUCUAUACACUGUACUGACAGGCAGUACUGACAGGCAGUCUAUACACUGUACUGGACAGGCAGUACUGACAGCAGUCUAUACACUGUACUGACAGGCAGUACUGGACAGGUAGUCUAUACACUGUACUGACAGGCAGUACU